rnacentral:rRNA from 1 species
CAAAAACAUCUCUUUUUGUUUAUAUAUAAAGUAUGACCUGCCCACUGAUUUAUUUGAAGGGCCGCGGUAACCUGACCGUGCAAAGGUAGCAUAAUCAUUAGUUUCUUAAUUAGAGGCUGGAAUGAAUGGUUGGACGAAAUAUGAGCUAUCUCAUUAUUUUUAUUAGAAUUUAAUUAUUAAGUAAAAAAGCUUAAAUAUUGUUAUGGGACGAGAAGACCCUAUAGAGUUUAAUAUUGUAAUUUUUAGAUUAGUUUUGUUUCGCAAUAUUAUAUUAUAAUUUUUUGUUGGGGUGACAGGAAGAUAUAAAUAACUCUUUUUAGAAUUGAUAUCUAUUAAUAGAU